UAAAGGAAAAGUAGAAUGGUUAUCAUUAGAACAUACGAAAGGAAACCUAGGACUGAUAUACACCUAAAAUAUUCUUCAUAUUCUUACAAGUUAACAGAAUAAUACCUUGACAAAGAUUUUCCUAUCACUCUCAUGCCUCUUAUUAACUAUUUCACCCUUUCUUUAUUGUCUUCUUGUUCAGUUGAAGAAUUUUUGUUGUUACAUUAUCUUUUCUGCAUUUUCUCUACCACACAACUAAAGAACAAUCAUUAGAUUCAUAACCAAUAUGAAAAUAUGCUACAAAAUGAGAGAAGAAAUGCACUAUUUAACCUGUUUUAAAAUUUCUCAACCCCUAUUCGUCAUCUCUUUUCUCUCGAGCAAAAGUUCAUAGCAAACAGAAAAGGACAAACAAGCUAUUUUAUACCUUACCUAUUGCCUUGACAUAUCACAUUUCCUCUCUCUUAUAUCUUCUCCUGAAUUGUCAUUCCUUAAUCCAAUAAAAUCACCAGAAAAAUACUUUCCUUUUGUUGAUUAGCUCAUUUUGUCACUCUAAUACAUCCAUCACUUUUUGUAGAAUAGAAUUAUAAAUUUUGUACAUGCUGCAAGCACCGGCUGUAAAUGUCAUUCUCAGUUGCUUUCCCUUCUUUCCAUGGGACAAAUGAUGUGAGUGUCUAAUGGAAAGGAAGAAGAAGAGGAGAAUAAAGUUUCACCCGGACUACCCAUGCUCGGGUAAAUUGUUUCUUCGACGUUUGCAACUCAAAGAUGGGAAACCAAUCUAAGGCCUAUGAUUAAAAAAUAAAAACAAAAAUUAAUACAGAGAUACAUGAAGAUAAAUACCAACCAAAAUUGAAGCUUUGUACCUUCAUAUCUUUCUCACAUAUGGUUAAAUUGAUCUCUUCUUGUUAUUGGAUGCAUCUGGAAUUGAGAUUUGUCUUGAAACGGUUGUUAGGUUAUUUGUUCUCCUUGUUAAUUGUUAAUUUAUUAUCUAUUUUUGGUGCCGCUGCAAUGAAAGUCGUUAUGUUCAUUGAUGAUUCAUGUUCGCCGGAUUUGAAGCGGUGAGAAUUAUUUUUGAACAAUUUUCGGAGUAUUUUGAGAGAGUGAUG
rnacentral:lncRNA from 1 species